rnacentral:rRNA from 1 species
GCUUGCGCUCGGAUAAAGAGAAGAGUCUCAUCCGGUAGAGCGAAUGAUUAGAGGCAUUGGGGUCGAAACGACCUCAACCUAUUCUCAAACUCCAAAUAGAUGAGAACCCCGGCUUUCUUAAAAUGAAGCCGUGGGAUUCGGAUCAAAGUGCCAAGUGGGCCAAUUUUGGUAAGCAGAACUGGCGCUGUGG